rnacentral:lncRNA from 1 species
UUUUUAGAAUCUUAAAUGCAACUGAAACAAAAAAUCACCUUCUCCUAAAACUGACUAAUCUAACACCUGAAUUUCUAUCAGUAAUCAAAACAAACAAGCAAAAGAAAACAAAACAAAAAUCUGCUAGUCAGAUAAAGACUUACAUAGUAUAUACUCUCAAAACGAGGAUAACUCCUAAAUUAAUUAGGUUUCUACUUAUUACAAGUGAGGGAAGUCAAUUUUUCAGUAGAAAAUUUAUUUACUUAUAAAACUAGAGAGCACAUGUGUGGAGGUUAAUUCAGAAAUAAACACAGAUUUCAAUAAUUAAUUUGGAUAUUUAUUUACCGCCAUUUCUCCAUUUCUCAAUUGUUUGUAUUUGUUGGUUACAACUUUUUGUACUGCUGACAUGAAGGAGAUGAACUAUGCUGAAAUGUGUACUGAUUUGACAUCUGGUAUUAAAAUUUUUAAAGUAGAGAAAACAUUUUCAUGUUGAUUUUACCACAUAAAGUAUGGAAUUUUUAAAUGCAUCCUACCAGGAACUUAUAAAAAUCAAUGUUUUACUAAUUGCAUCUAUACUUGUCUUAUGCCUCUCAAAAAUUAAAUAUUUUUAUUACUGCUACAGACAAAAGUCAUGUACAAACUCUGGUAAAUCUGUUUGUAACAUCUCCUUUCUCUUAAAAUUUAAUAGAGUUAUGGUAUUUUCCAAUGUAUGUCUAAUAACAAUUUAUAAAACUUUGGUAUAGUUGUACAAUAUUAUUACUACCAUUGAUAUUUUUAAAGCUAAUCUUUAUUUUGUAUUUACUAUGCGCCAGCUACUGUACCAAGCACUUUACAGCCACUGUCAGCUCUUUUAUUCCUUAUAACACUUUUAGGUAGACAUUAUUAUGCCCAUUUUACCUAUGGGGGAAAACAGGACUUACAGAGUUUAAAUAAUUUGCCUAAGUAUACACAUCUGGGAAAAGGCACAACUAGCAUUUAAAGCUAUAUAGUAUAUUUCUAGAGCUAUAAUUUUGCUCCAAUGCACACACUUAUUUUUCCUUGCACAAAAUCUCCUUAUUAAAACAAGAACAGCAACAAAUAACAAUAAAAUUUAGUAAAUAAUCUAAACAAUAUUUUUUAUUUUUAUUUUUUUAGGGCUGAACCUGUAGCAUAUGCAAGUUUCCAGGCUAGGGUUCAAAUUGUAGCUGUGCCUGCUGGCAUAUACCACAGCUACAGCAAUGCCCAGAUCUGAGCUGCAUCGGCGACCUACACCACAACUCAUGGUAACACGAGAACCUUAACCCACUGAGCAGGGUCAGGGAUCAAACCUAUGUCUUUGUGGAUACUAGUUGGGUUUGUUGCCACUGAAUCAUAACAGAAACUCCAAUAUAAUCUAAACUUUAAAUAAUAUUUUCCAUUUUAAUCUGGUGACAAAUGUCAGUACAGAGGAAAUAAAUCAAAAUAUUUUCAUCAAAUGAUAGAGUCUUCCAGCAUACGGAACUCAAACUGUGGUGAUGAGAAUGUUCUCCUCUGAUCAAUAGCCAGUAGCCACCAGUGGCAAUUGAAAGUUUGAAAUGUGGUUAGUGUGACUGAAGGACUACAUUUUAAAUUUUUAUUUAACUUGGAUUAAAUUUAAACAUUAUAGGUACAUGAAGCUGGUUUUUUAACAUAUAUAACAGUGUAGCCUUCAGUGAUCUUAUCCAGCCCAAAUGAUGGCUGCCAAGGACAAUCCUUGGAAUUUCUUGAUCACAUAUCCAAUGAUUUGCCAGGUAUUUCGACAUGGAUGUCUAAAAAGGAUCUCUGUUUAAUGUGUCCAAAUUUUUACUUUUUUUGAAAGUAAGUGGUUGCCUUCAUAGGUCCCAUCUUCCACAAAGCACACUUCUGUGUAGCUUUUAGCCCAGGAUGAUAACAUUGGAGUCAUUCUUGACUUAUCAAUAAAAAAUGCAUGGAGUCUUUAUUUUCAAAAAUCUGUGAGCUUUUUAGCAAAUGUGGAACUACACUCUAGUCCAAGCCACAUCCAUAUACUGCCUAGACUAUAGUAGUUAUUUUCAACUGGUCUCCCUCCUUCCCCUCUGACCACUACAGACUUACCAGUCUGUUUUCAGACCAGCUCUCUGCUCCACCUUCACAGGCUGAUUAUAAGUUCUGAGAAUUAACCCAAUAUGCUUCUCUGUGGAGCCUUGUCCAUUUGUCUGGAUUUAUCUCCACACAGAAAUUCUCAUAUAGACUUCUGACUUCACUUGGGUUUCUGCACUGUAUACUGGUAAGUGAAAGAAGCCGCUAAUCCUUUAUUUAUGUUUAUUUUUUAUUAAAGUUAGUUGAUUUACAAUGCUGUGCCAAUUUCUGCUGUAUAGAAAAGAGACUCAGUCAUGCAUAUAUAUAUAUAUAUAUACAUAUAUGACACACAUACAUAUAUACAUAUACACACAAUUUUUCUUAUAUUAUAGAGGCUGCUAGUCUCUAAAGAUUACAUUAUAUUAUUCUAACUACAUAACAUUCUGGAAAAGGCAAAACUAUUGUGAUGCUUAAAGAUCUGUGGUUGACAGGGGUUCAUGGGGAGGAAAAGGGACUGAAUAAGAGGAAAACCUGUUCAGGACAGUGACAUUC